rnacentral:rRNA from 1 species
AUACGUAGGAUCCGAGCGUUAUCCGGAAUUACUGGGUUUAAAGGGUGCGUAGGCGGAUAUAUAAGUCCGUGGUGAAAUCCUAUAGCUUAACUAUAGAAUUGCCAUAGAUACUGUAUGUCUAGAGUGUAGGCGAAGUAUGAGGAAUGUGACAAGUAGCGGUGAAAUGCGUAGAUAUGUCACAGAACACCGAUAGCGAAGGCAUCGUACUAGCACUAUACUGACGCUGAGGCACGAAAGCGUGGGGAUCAAACAGGAUUAGAUACCCUGGUAGUCCACGCUGUAAACGAUGAUAACUAGAUGUAUGCUAAUAUAGUAUGUGUCGUAGCGAAAGCGAUAAGUUAUCCACCUGGGGAGUACGGUCGCAAGGCUGAA